rnacentral:rRNA from 1 species
AAUCAACGCUGGCGGCGCGCUUAACACAUGCAAGUCGAACGGGAAAGUGGGCAACCAUGAGUACAGUGGCGUACGGGUGAGUAACACGUGGGUGAUCUACCUCUUAGUGGGGAAUAACUUUGGGAACCGAAGCUAAUACCGCAUAAGCUCGAGAGAGGAAAGCAGCAAUGCGCUGAGAGAGGAGCCCGCGGCCGAUUAGCUAGUUGGUAGGGUAAGAGCCUACCAAGGCAGAGAUCGGUAGCCGGCCUGAGAGGGCACACGGCCACACUGGCACUGAAACACGGGCCAGACUCCUACGGGAGGCAGCAGGUGGGGAAUCUUGCACAAUGGGGGAAACCCUGAUACAGCGACGCCGCGUGAGCGAUGAA